rnacentral:misc_RNA from 1 species
GCAGAUCAUGCGCUUCUACCGUGCCGAUCUGGACCGUCGCGGCGGCCGUCAAGGACGGCGCGACCGUCCACGUCGCCGGCGCGGUCGUGGUGAAGCAGCAUCCUGAGACGGCGAAAGGUCACGUAUUCCUAUCCCUCGAGGACGAAACUGGUAUGGCGAACGUGAUCAUCCGGCCUGCGACCUACCGCCAGCACAAGCGCGUGCUGGACGCCAACGCCGCUGUGGUGGUCACGGGAACGCUCCAGAGCGUCGACGGAGCCACCUCCGUGCUCGCGACGCGACUCGACGGCCUGGCGCUCUUCGUGAAGAUCGCCGCGCGCGAGUGGCAGUGACCUACCUCAACG